rnacentral:rRNA from 1 species
AGCGAACGCUGGCGGCAGGCCUAACACAUGCAAGUCGAACGAAGUCUUCGGACUUAGUGGCGGACGGGUGAGUAACACGUGGGAACGUACCUUUUGGUUCGGAACAACUCAGGGAAACUUGAGCUAAUACCGGAUGAGCCCUUAGGGGGAAAGAUUUAUCGCCGAAAGAGCGGCCCGCGUUAGAUUAGCUAGUUGGUGAGGUAAAGGCUCACCAAGGCUACGAUCUAUAGCUGGUCUGAGAGGAUGAUCAGCCACACUGGGACUGAGACACGGACCAGGCUCCUACGGGGGGCAGCAGUGGGGAAUCUUGCGCAAUGGGCGAAAGCCUGACGCAGCCAUGCCGCGUGAAUGAUGAAGGUCUUAGGAUUGUAAAAUUCUUUUACCAGGGACGAUAAUGACGGUACCUGGAGAAAAAGCCCCGGCUAACUUCGUGCCAGCCGCCGCCGUAAUAC